GGGAGGGGACUGCCACCUAGGAUUAGCGGGAUGGUCUUUGGCAGCCGUCCCGCCCAGCUGAUUAUCACAUUGUUUUAAAGGUCAUUGGGCUUCUUGAGGCCCCCAGCAAUGCGUUCUAGAAGCCCCUCCAGUCGAACUUAAAGCUCUGGGUCUAGGUAGCAGAAGGGGGAGGGUCGGGGAAGAAAAAGAUAUCAAACCCCAGUAUCCAAAGACCCCGGAACCGUAUCGAUCCCGACCCCUGCUUGGUAUCGAUUGAUCAAUGCCCCUGCCGAAAAGAGGAAUUGCCCUUUAAAAUGGUUGGGAAAGAGAUUGGGAGGGAGGGUUGAUAUUAAUCAAAGCAGGCCUCUCAGAAGGACGGCAGAGCAGCACGGGGAAGAGGAAACAAAAGAAGGAGGUUUGCCGAACAGCCUCGAAUAUUACGGCGGGAGAAGCGAUCAGUUAAUGGCACUGGAUGCAAUGAGCAUUCCAGGAGCUUCCCUAAUCUCCUGAUUUUUGGGAGAAACUCCGGCCCCCUGGCCCAGUGGACCUGAGAGAGUGAAGGGAAGACAGGCUGCUGUCCACAGUCAGCUGAGCCCCUGCUGUGCGUUUAGG
rnacentral:lncRNA from 1 species